rnacentral:rRNA from 1 species
UGGGGAAUAUUGGACAAUGGGCGAAAGCCUGAUCCAGCCAUGCCGCGUGUGUGAAGAAGGUCUUCGGAUUGUAAAGCACUUUAAGUUGGGAGGAAGGGCAUUAACCUAAUACGUUAGUGUUUUGACGUUACCGACAGAAUAAGCACCGGCUAACUCUGUGCCAGCAGCCGCGGUAAUACAGAGGGUGCAAGCGUUAAUCGGAAUUACUGGGCGUAAAGCGCGCGUAGGUGGUUUGUUAAGUUGGAUGUGAAAGCCCCGGGCUCAACCUGGGAACUGCAUUCAAAACUGACAAGCUAGAGUAUGGUAGAGGGUGGUGGAAUUUCCUGUGUAGCGGUGAAAUGCGUAGAUAUAGGAAGGAACACCAGUGGCGAAGGCGACCACCUGGACUGAUACUGACACUGAGGUGCGAAAGCGUGGGGAGCAAACAGG